rnacentral:rRNA from 1 species
GACGAACGCUGGCGGCGUGCUUAACACAUGCAAGUCGAACGGAAAGGCCCUGCUUUUGUGGGGUGCUCGAGUGGCGAACGGGUGAGUAACACGUGAGUAACCUGCCCUUGACUUUGGGAUAACUUCAGGAAACUGGGGCUAAUACCGGAUAUGAGCUCCUGCUGCAUGGUGGGGGUUGGAAAGUUUCGGCGGUUGGGGAUGGACUCGCGGCUUAUCCGCUUGUUGGUGGGGUAGUGGCUUACCAAGGCUUUGACGGGUAGCCGGCCUGGGAGGGUGACCGGCGACAUGGGGACUGAGAUACGGCCCAGACUCCUACGGGAGGCAGCAGUGGGGAGUAUUGCAGAAUGGGCGGAAGCCUGAGGCGGCAACGCCGCGUGCGGGAUGACGGCCUUCGGGUUGUAAACCGCUUUCGCCGGUGACGAAGCGUGAGUGACGGUAAUGGGUAAAGAAGCACCGGCUAACUACGUG